AUUAGCUUGUUGGCGGGGUAACGGCCCACCAAGGCUGCGAUGGUUAGCCGGCUUAAGAGGGUGAUCGGCCACAUUGGGACUGAGAUACGGCCCAGACUCCUACGGGAGGCAGCAGUAGGGAAUUUUGCGCAAUGGACGAAAGUCUGACGCAGCAACGCCGCGUGAGCGAUGAAGGUUUUCGGAUUGUAAAGCUCUGUUGAGUGGGAAGAAAACUCUCCGGGAUAAUACCCCGGAGACUUGACGGUACCACUCGAGGAAGCCCCGGCUAAAUACGUGCCAGCAGCCGCGGUAAUACGUAUGGGGCAAGCGUUGUUCGGAAUCACUGGGCGUAAAGGGAGUGUAGGCGGAAAGGUAAGUUAGAAGUGUAAUCCACGGGCUUAACCCGUGACUCGCUUUUAAUACUGCUUUUCUUGAGUAUGGGAGAGGGAGAUGGAAUUCCAGGUGUAGCGGUGGAAUGCGUAGAUAUCUGGAAGAACACCAGUAGCGAAGGCGGUCUCCUGGCCCAAUACUGACGCUGAGGCUCGAAAGCGUGGGGAGCGAACAGGAUUAGAUACCCUGGUAGUCCACGCCGUAAACGAUGGACACUAGAUGUUGGCCUCUUCGGGGGUCGGUGUCGUAGCUAACGCGUUAAGUGUCCCGCCUGGGAAGUACGCUCGCAAGAGUGAAACUCAAAGGAAUUGACGGGGGCCCGCACAAGCGGUGGAGCAUGUGCUUUAAUUCGAUGCAACGCGAAGAACCUUACCUGGACUUGACAUGGGGGUGAAAGUUUUCAGAGAUGAAAACCCUUCCUUCGGGAACGCCCUACACAGGUGCUGCAUGGUUGUCGUCAGCUCGUGUCGUGAGAUGUUGGGUUAAGUCCCGCAACGAGCGCAACCCUUGUCCUUAGUUGCCAGCGGGUCAUGCCGGGAACUCUAGGGAGACUGCCUGGUACAACCAGGAGGAAGGUGGGGAUGACGUCAAAUCAUCAUGGCCCUUACGUCCAGGGCUAGACACGUGCUACAAUGGCCGGUACAGAGGGCUGCAAGACUGCGAAGUCAAGCCAAUCCCUAAAAACCGGUCUCAGUUCGGAUUGGAGUCUGCAAUUCGACUCCAUGAAGGUGGAAUCGCUAGU
rnacentral:rRNA from 1 species